rnacentral:rRNA from 1 species
GACGAACGCUGGCGGCGUGCUUAACACAUGCAAGUCGAACGAAAAGAGGGAAAGAGCUUGCUCUUUCCGGAAUUGAGUGGCAAACGGGUGAGUAACACGUAAACAACCUGCCUUCAGGAUGGGGACAACAGACGGAAACGACUGCUAAUACCGAAUAAGUUCCAAGGGCCGCAUGGCCCAUGGAAGAAAAGGUGGCCUCUACCUGUAAGCUAUCGCCUGAAGAGGGGUUUGCGUCUGAUUAGCUGGUUGGAGGGGUAACGGCCCACCAAGGCGACGAUCAGUAGCCGGUCUGAGAGGAUGAACGGCCACACUGGAACUGAGACACGGACCAGACUCCUACGGGAGGCAGCAGUGGGGAAUCUUCCGCAAUGGGCGAAAGCCUGACGGAGCAACGCCGCGUGAGUGAUGACGGCCUUCGGGUUGUAAAACUCUGUGAUCCGGGACGAAAAGGCAGAGUGCGAAGAACAAACUGCAUUGACGGUACCGGAAAAGCAAGCCACGGCUAACUACGUG